UUUGGAUUUUAUGUGCGGCUAAAUUCAUCGGUGUUUGGCCCAAAUAGGAAGCCAAAGUCAGUUAUUACCUUAACUUGAUUUUCUUGGUCGGUUUGAGGAAUUGAGACCCUCUAUUUCUCUCUCUCUUCCCGUGUGAAACCCCAACGAAACCCAAUUAGACCCCCAAACCCCUUUCCAUCUCCCGGUGCCCUGCAUUCCUCUCAAACUCUCACUUCCAAUCUCACGUUGUUACCCCUGCAGUUUGUCGGAGCUCCGCGCAUGGUCGGCGCUCUAGCCUUCCCCUUCUCCAUACUUGUUCGUUGUUGGGCUGCCGUGUCUAGAUGCUAGUCUACUCUCUUCUUCUUUGUCUUCUUCGUUCCCUGUCCUGUUCGUUGUUGUCCAGUGAUUUGCUGCGCGCGCUGUUUCAUCGUCGAAAGCUACCACUCCCCUGCGUUGCCGCCUACCUCGUCGGUGCUCUCCGCCGUUGUCGGAGCCCGGUCCCUCCCCUUGCCGUGUCUUCCCUACUCUUGAAGCAGAGGUAAAGCCUAAUUCUCUAUUUUCCUCUUGAAAUUCUAAUUUCAAGUUUUGUAAAUCAAGCCCGGUUUUUGUUUAUGUUGUUGAUAUUGUUGUUGUCCGAUGUUAUUGUUAUGUUGUCAUUGCUUCUCUUUGUGCUCAUGGUGGUGUUGGUGUUGGCUUGUCGUUGUUGGUUAUUGUUAUUGGUGUUAUAGUUGUGGUGAUUGUUGUGGAGUUGUUGUGGUGGAGUUGUUAUAUUGUUGUUGUUGUGUUGAUGUUGGAGUGGUUAAUAUGGAAUUGUUAUAAUGUUAGGUUUGAAUUGUGGUUAUAGGAUGGCAAAUUCAUUUUGCAUAACCUGUAAUUGCUGAGUUGAAUGAUAAACGUAUAUAGAUUCUAAGUUGAGAAUGCGUUAGGGUUAGGUGUCCUAGUUUUAUUAGUUUGAGAAUUGAGGAAUUAAGAUUAUUCUCGUAAAGGAUCUUUAAAUUAGGAAUUUGGUUAUUGUUUCCCUUUGUAGUUUAGAUUAGUUUAAGGAUAGUUAUUAAUUAUUGUUGUCGUUGUGAGGUGAUUGUUGGAGAAUGAUCAUGCAGUGGAGUAUUAUUUAGAGAUUAAGGAACUGGAUUGCAUUUCAGGUUUGGUAUCAAGAGCUCGGGAAUGGAAGUGAAGCGAGAUUAUGAUGUUGUGUUAGAUUAUGGAUUAAGUUUGUAUUUAGAUAGUAGAUUAAGGAAUAGUUACUGAUUUUUCAUUGUACAUAAUACUUGGAAAUUUAGUCGAAUUAUUGGUGUAUUUAAGGAUA